GCAGCUCCUGUCCGUUUGUGCUGGGGAAUGGCAUCGGGAAGGCUCUCUAUCAUUGAUAGUGAAUGAGUUAUUCAACAUUGAAGACUAAACCCUAAAGCACAGGGCGGCUUUGAAGAUGGAUGAUCGGUUUGCUUUAAGAUCUAGUGUCCACCAAUUUUGGCUAAUGCAUUGACAUGAUCAAACCCGAUUCCUGUCUCCGGGGUCCUACUUUCGAAUCUUUCAGGUGUUCCACCUACUGUUACAAAUGGAUUGGAUAUAGAUCCCACUAAACAUAUAAAAAGCCAGAAGUCAAUUGAAAGUCAAAGUUUUGUUCGAGAGAAUCACCUUGUAAUUGGGUUCAGAUAUUCGUUUAUUUUGUGUAUUGUGAGCUGUUAUGGAGAUUGCUUAGAAUCGCUAUUGAUGGUCCAAAAUGGUGGUUUUGUUAGAUAAAUUUCUGAUGUUCGGGCAGACUGUUCUGAUUAAUUCCUGAAUAUAGAACUCACUAGCUUCAAUCCAUUUCCCGAAAUAUUAUCUAAUUUGGUGUCCCACCUACUGUUGCAAAUAUAUUGGAUAUAGAUCAGCAAAACAUAUAAAGAAUCAGAAUUCAGUUGAUUACUGCUAGAAAGAAAGCUUUAGCUUCCUUGAUGUAAAUGUCAAGUGGUAUCGUGCUAUAUACUGAUGUCAAUCAAAGUGGGGUUUAUUGAGGAAUCUUCAUUCUGUGCUUAAGCAGAUGGAGAAAGCUAUGGUCCAUGGUGUCUCGUCACUCGUCAGCAUAUCGGACUUAGAGGUGUGUAUACGUAUGGAGCAAUACGUGUGAACUUUUCUUUUACCCUUUGCCGGCAUUAUAAAGUGCUGGCCAUCGGCCCUCUGGUGCGGACGGAUAUCCCCACACAGGCAAGCCGAGCGUUGACUAAACGCCAGGAGCGACUUCUGCCGGCUUUGUCAAGUUUCACAGGAAAGGCCAUUUCUGGUGAAUGAUCCCGGAUCACCGAAAGCAACAAAAUUUUUUGCUAGCCUCCACCUGGUACAUGUCUCUUGGUGCGCUGUAAACGAAAAAGAUGAAGGUUGGGUGCGGUGAAUACGUCUAUUUCAGAAGAAUGUGCCCCUUAUAUCAAACACUAGGUUUAUGUAU